GAUGAACGCUGGCGGCGUGCCUAAUACAUGCAAGUCGAGCGAACAGACGAGGAGCUUGCUCCUCUGACGUUAGCGGCGGACGGGUGAGUAACACGUGGAUAACCUACCUAUAAGACUGGGAUAACUUCGGGAAACCGGAGCUAAUACCGGAUAAUAUAUUGAACCGCAUGGUUCAAUAGUGAAAGACGGUUUUGCUGUCACUUAUAGAUGGAUCCGCGCCGCAUUAGCUAGUUGGUAAGGUAACGGCUUACCAAGGCGACGAUGCGUAGCCGACCUGAGAGGGUGAUCGGCCACACUGGAACUGAGACACGGUCCAGACUCCUACGGGAGGCAGCAGUAGGGAAUCUUCCGCAAUGGGCGAAAGCCUGACGGAGCAACGCCGCGUGAGUGAUGAAGGCCUUCGGAUCGUAAAACUCUGUUAUUAGGGAAGAACAAAUGUGUAAGUAACUAUGCACGUCUUGACGGUACCUAAUCAGAAAGCCACGGCUAACUACG
rnacentral:rRNA from 1 species